CACACACCGGGUUCUGCCACCGAAGCGGUGGAGCGACUGGCAGCGCCCGCUUCGGCCUGCCCCACUGGCCGGCAUCCCAGGGUUAACAAACAAUUGUGUUUAUUGACAAGUUCAUACAUCAGUACAAACGGGCACGUUAAAAACAGCGCCCCCGCCCCAUGCAGCCGAGGAUGAGGCAGGAAGCGCCGCGACCUGCACAAAGUAUAAAAGUUAUAAAUAAGGGGCUUUCAAAACAAGGCGGGGGCAAAUCUGGAGUGGGGCGGCGGUUGCCGGUGGCCUCAGACAUGCAGAAGGGGACGGGGUGUUCCACAUAAGCCAGGGUGGUGAAGCUGAGGCAGGAUGUGAGGAAACCAGGCACACAGCAGCCAGCCAGAUACUCUAGCAACCAACACUCAACAGCGUGCUGUGCAGGGAUGUUCCAACACAGGCUUCUGACUAAGCAUCAUUCAGGAUGCAGGGAGAAGGUGGCCUCUGGGCUCCAGCAGCCGGCUGGGGUCCAGGGUGGAGGACAGGGAAGAACAAGGGGCUGAGGAAAGGAGGCCAGAGCUUCAUGUUUGCCCAGGUGAGGGCUUACUGUCCUGCAGCAACAUCCCACAGCUGGCUCAAGUUCUGGCCAGGAGAGUAAGGGGUCACAGGGAAAUACAAUGCUGGGCCCCUCUUGGAGGGAGAAUGGGAGUGGAAUGUGCGGGCUCAGGUCCAAAUACGCAGGGCCUGUGUCUGCUCGGCUCCCACAGCCCCAGGGCUGCUGCCUGGGCUGGACAGCACUGCCCCAGCCACAGCUUCCAGCUCCUGUCGCACUGAAGAGAAGGUGUCUCUGAGGAGCUGGGCAAUCCGACUUUGCUCUGCUGAGGGCAUCUUGCAGCCAGCCACCUGAAAUAGCACCCCCAGAAGUGAGGUGGAGGAGCCUGUCAACAGACAUAUAAAAGGGAGGGGCCCCACCUGGGUCCAGCCUGCCUCAGAAGGGACUAGCUGGGAACUC
rnacentral:lncRNA from 1 species